rnacentral:lncRNA from 1 species
UAUUUGAUGAGUUGUGACUAUUCAAGAAUAAGGGAAAGGGGGCAACUUUUGCCUUUAAAUUUAAAAGAUUCAAUUCUUGGCUCUUCAAAGAAAAACACCACUAUUUUGAAGAGUCACUUUUACAUAUAUAGACACCUCAUCACAUUGAGUCAGUAGUCAAUUUAUUAGUUAGGUCAUUCAAAGUUUGUGGAUGCAAAUUCGUACACGACUGAUUAGACAAAAUUCCAUCUACAAGAGAACAAACAAUGUUAGCCUAGUUGACGAACACCCUAAAAAAGGAGAAGGGUGUCCGUCAUAGGGUCUCCGAUGCCUAAUUCAAAAAAGUAGUAGAGAGAAUAGAGAACUUGAGAGAGUACUAAGUAGUAAGUGGCAAUUACCGUUUCUUCUGUUUGACAUGGCUAUUUAUAGGGAAAAACCUUAGCAGGCAGGUUGAAAAGGAGAUUGCAGGUCAGUCUUCACAGUCAUGUGAGCUAGCAAUUUUGAAGGUCCAUGUUGGUAAGAGCAUAGUUGCACUGGACACCCAAGGGGAAACUCUAGAGAGUUGGUACCCUGAUGUCAUUGGACCAGGUGUGGCCCGAUGGCAAGACAUAUUAUGGGUGGUUCAAAAAACCCAUAAUAUAUGUCAUGGUAGGCCUAGAUCGCUCAUGAUCCGUACCAUGAGCAACCCGGAUGGCCUAUGGUCCCUUAAUGGCAUAAAAGCUCGAUUAUCUUAGGGCAGACUAUGUUGCUUCUUUGCCAUGUCUGAUGAAUCUUUGACCGCAUAUCAAAAUUUUGACAUAAGGUAUGGUGCACACCAAACCAUACCAAAAUUUUGGCUUAUUUUUAGUCAUGAUACUUGUACUCUUUACAAAAUCUCAUUUUAAUCCCUGCACUCUAUUUUGUUUCAUUUUAUCAUGUGAACUCUUCCUUCAUCCCACAUUACUCCGUUUCGUGAGUUCAGUCAUAAAAUGAAGCAUUUUUGCUCAUCAACCUAAACUUUGGUAUAUGCUAAACCUACAUCUAAUUAUUUGAUACGUGUCAUUUCACCUAACAUUGGUUAAUUGUUUUCAGAAUUGAGAAAAUAACAUUUACUGUGAAAAUUAACUAAAAUUAAACGAUCAAAUAAUUAGGUGUAUGAUAGUUAUAAUAGUGAGUAAAAAUGCUCUGGUCGCAAAAAUUAUUAACCUGAUGAGGUGUAAGAAUAGACGCUGUAACGCGUGGGGUAAAGUAAGCGACUCACAGAAAGUGUAUAGCUGUCUCGGACUAAAAUGUAAAAUGCAAAACUAAAAGAGCUGGGGUGUUAUUGUCUAGUGGCUCCUACAGGUCCCCCGGUCAGCCGCGCACUCUGUCGGCUUACGUGACGCUAAGGUGAAUGCAGUUCAGUAGUAGAGGCACGUGACAUGGCUCCCACUCUGUCGACUUGUCCCACAGUUUUUAACCUUUGGACAUUAAUCCGACUCUUUUCUUCUAUUUUUGUACACAUGUUUUUAUACAAAUUAUUUCGCCCUUUAUCGCCCACAAGUUCUCUCCUCUCCUCUACUAGUUGAACAUGGUAUUGCCGUCAAAGUAGCAGCUAAUGGUCUCCGGGGUUGGGCUGCGUAUCUUUUUUCAAAGGAAGCGAAAUGCAAAAUGUCCUUUCCAUAUUUAUUAACAAUGAAAUAUCAUUUUCAUCUCAUCAUUUUUUGACGACUCAAAAAAUUAUUUUUCAAGCUUAGACUUACCAACAGUGGAAAAUGCGACACUUUUUCGUGUCCCCCACUCUCUUCCCUCAUGCCAAACGUGGCCUUAAGGUUAAAUGAGAUUCGAAAGCAUAUGGUUCAAAUUAAGUUGUCGUACUAAAUUACAUAAUAAGUCAUCCAUAAUAAAUAGACAUCAAACUCGUUGUCCAAGUGAGUAGGACUUAAAAUUCUCAUUUGUAAGCAGAGAUGGAUAUUAUUAAACAACAAUGCAAGUAACAUCUAUUUGGCAAGAUUGAAAUAGGGGUUGGAAAAUUACAAAGAACUUGGGUCUUUAAUUUUUCUGCUAGCUACUUGGUCUUCAAACACAAUGAUGUGAACCUUACAUGGUUGAAUAACUAAAACUAAAAUACACAUGAAUGAAGACUAAUUAACAUGAUGCAGAAGUUGGGGGCAUCCAUUGAAAUCGAUGCAAACAGAAGGAGUUGAUGAACACCAAUGAAUCUUCUGUAGAACUCCUAUUUGUAUACAACUACUCAGUAGGAAGUAAUAUAUUGUGUAUCUAGGCUUUUGCAGGGACCGAAGGUUUAUAGAGGUUAUAAUACUCUAGGCCCAGCUCAAUAGCCUACAAGUCAGAAAUUAUAUCUUUUUAGUCAAAAUGAUGUCUGAGAUUUGUAUAACAUAUCACUUUGAUCUUUGAUAUUGAAAAUAAAUAAAAAUGGUCCCUGAGAUUAUCCACCAUUCAUUAUUUUGGUCAUUCCAUUAAAAACUUUGUUAAGUGUCCCGGAGCUCUUGGUCGAAAGUUUGAUCAAUUUUCAAAGUUUCGUAAUUCAAUUGUUUAUUAACCAAAUUCGACCCAUAAUAUAUCAAAAUAAAGAUAGGAAAGUAUAGAACAAAAUUAUAC